GAUGAACGCUGGCGGCGUGCCUCAGACAUGCAAGUCGAACGAUUAAAGCUCUCUUCGGAGAGUGCAUAGAGUGGCGCACGGGUGAGUAACACGUAAGUAAUCUACCUUCGAGUGGGGAAUAACGUCCGGAAACGGACGCUAAUACCGCAUAAUGCAGCGGCAUCGUAAGAUGACAGUUGUUAAAGAUUUAUCGCUUGAAGAGGAGCUUGCGGCAGAUUAGCUAGUUGGUAAGGUAAUGGCUUACCAAGGCUACGAUCUGUAACCGGUCUUAGAGGACGGUCGGUCACACUGACACUGAAUAACGGGUCAGACUCCUACGGGAGGCAGCAGUCGGGAAUUUUGGGCAAUGGGCGAAAGCCUGACCCAGCAACGCCGCGUGAAGGAUGAAGUAUUUCGGUAUGUAAACUUCGAAAGAAUAGGAAGAAUUAAUGACGGUACUAUUUAUAAGGUCCGGCUAACUACGUGCCAGCAGCCGCGGUAAGUCUCGCGUGA
rnacentral:rRNA from 1 species